GACGAACGCUGGCGGCGUGCUUAACACAUGCAAGUCGAACGGAAAGGCCCCCAUCUUGGUGGGUGUGCUCGAGUGGCGAACGGGUGAGUCACACGUGUAUGAUCUGCUCUGUACUUCGGGAUAAUCUUGGGAAACUGGGUCUAAUACCGGAUAGGCCCAUGGUUUAGUGUCUCAUGGUGGAAAGAUUAUUGGUUUGGUGCAGGAUGAGCGCGCGGCCUAUCAGCUUGUUGGUGGGGUAAUGGCCUACCGAGGCGGUGGCGGGUAGCGGGUCUGAGGGGGUGGCCGCCCGCAAGGGGACUGGGCUACGUCGCAGACGAGUACGGGAGGAAGCAGUGGGGGAUGGUGCACAAUGGGAGUAAGGCUGAAGGAGCGGCGGCGUGUGGGGGAAGACGGCCGUGGGGGAGGAAGCUCUUUUCGUUAGGGACGGAGCCGGACUUUGUUUGGGCGUGGGGGCGGGUACUUGGUAAAGAAGCACCGGCUAACUACGUG
rnacentral:rRNA from 1 species